AUUCCCCUGGGGUGUUCGUUAUGGUUCCGAUUUCUUGAACCGAUAAGCAUCCAGACCCGGUGGUUCGCCUGAUGGAGACUGUUGUGCGCCGAACAAGAUUUGGUGCCUGAUGUUUUCGGUGGAUCGCCCUCUUUACGAGUUGGGGUUCAGGAUGACGGCCAGACGGCACUUUGGGGGAUCC
rnacentral:other from 1 species